rnacentral:lncRNA from 1 species
CAGUAAAGGAACUAGACAAUGAAUGACACGUCUCUCUGUGAUCUGUGUACUACGUGGACGAACACAAGUGGUGCAGGCAAGGUAACAUUUAACAUCACAUCACGGAUGUCACGUGUUGUCAACAUCAAUG